rnacentral:tRNA from 1 species
UCCGUGGUGGCUCAGAGAUUAAAGCGUCUGCCUGCAAUGCGGGAGACCUGGGUUCGAUCCCUGGGUAGGGAA